UUAUGGCCACAUCACAUUGAAACACCAGUUACCGUACGAACACUGAAAUAAAGCAACGUCGAGCCUUGUCAAUACCUACAUGGGUGACCGCUUGGGAAUACCAAAUGCUGUAA